CACUGCACUUAACAUGGCAAGACUAGCAAUGACAUCAAUCUCAACAAAGAGAAGAGAUAGAGCAUAUAUUCUUUUCUUUUUUACUGGACCAGAUUUAGCACCACAACAAGCAGAUGCCCAUCAAACCAUAAUUCAGAUUUUUUCUUCUCAGCUUCAGAUACAUUAACAAAAAAUAUGCACCUUGAGUCUGAGAACAACCCUUUCAUGCUCUUCUAAAUUAACUCUGCAAAACCUGCAAUCAUCCUCUGUUUUAAGAGUUCUAUAUCAUUCUCUAGAAAAAGAAUCUCCAGAAACAACCUGAGAUCAUCAAAACCUCGCUUGACUUAAAAGACUCAUUUUUAUAGUAGCAAAGAGAAACACAGCAGUCGCAGGCUCUUAACCAAGAACAGUAAGGACACUGUGAAGAGCCUCAGAAGCAAUUAUCUUAUCAUCAGCAGCCAAUAGGACAGACGUUUUGACUUUGACACAUGUUCUCAUUUUUUUUUUUUUUUUUUUCAAAGAACCUUCAAAGACUUAUCAUUUUAUUUUAUCAACUAUCAUUUAAGAUUUAUAAGAAGCUGCCGUAGGCAAGUUAUGCAAACUCUGGAAUCUCUGUUCAAAGAGCUGAUGUAUCCAGGUUUCAUCCUUCAGACUUGCUGCAGCAAUAACCCAUCGACUUGCCAGGGUGUCUAAGUUUAACCUUUCCAAGCAUCUUAGCUUCUCUGUUGAAGCUUUUGUCCAAUAUGAGAUCAUCUUUCCAGAUAAUCUUCUUGACAGCAACGUCUCUUGCCGUUCUCAAGCUCCACCUUGUAAAUCUUCUCAACACUCCUCCCCGUAAUAGUCGGUUGGUUGCUUCUGUUGAUCUCCAAACCGUCUAAUGUUCAGUCUCCUGAAGCAGGCUUGUUAGAUAUUGCUCCAACACAACCUAGUAAUGGCGCACUUCCUGAUGGCUUAACGAAGCCACCUUUGUCUCCCUCCAUUUCAGAUUGCUGCAGACCAGACAUGGUGCUCGACAUCCUUCUCUUGAAUGUUUCAGAUACUCCUAGCUGGAACAUGUUCCUGAACGAAUUUGCCUCCCAGUUUGGUCUCCUACCUCACCAAAUUGAGCUGAUCAACUUCUAUAUAUGCUAAGCUUAUCAAGGAUGAACAUUUCAAUGGAUAUCACACCUCAUUCUGGUAUUAGUGUUUCAGCGAGUCAGGCAUCGGCGAUAAACUCUUCUCUUAUCAGCCACAACAUUCAGUUUAGCCCUACUUUGGUGGGAGAUUACAAACUUCUGAACUUUACUUGGUUUGAGGCCUCUGCACCUUCUCAAGAAACAAGUGAUGAGUGCCUUCCACCUUUGCUCUGCAGUCGAACCUGAUAUUGCAAUACACAAGUCAAUGAGGGAGGGCACUUCUCCACUUUUCAUGUACAAAGGCAAAAUGUCAAACUACAAUUAAUUACUUACCUUGUAACCAAUGUUGUCUCCAAUGCUUUCACCUCUUUCGCAGAAACUUCAAGAUAGGAAUGGAAAACUAAAACUUUCAGCAAGAGGUUUGCAGCACAUAUAGCAUGCAUGUAGAUUUAACCAAAAAAUCUCAAAAUAUCAACCUGACAUGGCGGAGAUACGACGAGGUUGGGUGCAAACAAUUUUGCAAGUUUCCUCUUUGGUUGACCACAUAUGGUCUAAAAGAUAUUUGAUCUGAGGCACAUCUAAAACAUUAACAAAUAAUUGAGAAACCUCAAGCAUGAAAGAUUGAGGGCAAAUCAAAAGGAAGAGCUUUUAAAGCUAUUUGGCUAAUCUCACCUGAGUAGUUUUCCCACAACCAGUUUCACCAGAGAUGAGAAUAACCUUGGCAUAUAGAAUAAGAAUAUCAGUACUGGGAAGCAAUAUUCAUACAAAUAUUAUAUCUCAAAUUCCGCUAGAUUUUCUAUAAGCAAGACAUCCAUUCUUGAUCAAGUAUAACAUCCACAAAUGCAUCAGACCCUUUUAGUCAGAUAUAAUCCUUCAGACUUGCUGCAGCAAUAUGAGAUCAUCUUUCCAGAAAAUCUUCUUGACAGCAACGUCUCUUGCCGUUCUCAAGCUCCACUUUGUAAAUCUUCUCAACACUCCUCCCCUUUAUAGUCAGUUGGUUGCUUCUGUUCAUCUCCAAACCGUCUAAUGUUCAGUCUCCUGGAGCAGGCUUGGUAGAUAUUGCUCCAACACAAUCUAGUAAUGGCGCACUUCCUGAUGGCUUAACGAAGCCACCUUUGUCUCCCUUUAUUUCAGCCGCUGGUGUGCUUAUCGCCGCCAUAAUAUCUGCGCACUGCGAGAAGAGAAAGCUCCUGAUCCUCGCAAAGAAGUUGGUGUGCACCUCCUCUCAGUACAAAGAAGAGAAAACAACUGAUGAGUGCCUUCCACCUUUGCUCUGUAGUCGAACCUGAUAUUGCAAUACACAAGUCAAUGAGGGAGGGCACUUCUCCACUUUUCAUGUACAAAGGCAAAUGUCGAACUAC